UACGUAGGGAGCAAGCGUUGUCCGGAAUCAUUGGGCGUAAAGCGCGCGUAGGCGGCCCUGUAAGUCCGUUGUGAAAGUCAAAGGCUCAACCUUUGAAAGCCGAUGGAUACUGCAGGGCUAGAGUCCGGAAGAGGCGAGUGGAAUUCCUGGUGUAGCGGUGGAAUGCGCAGAUAUCAGGAGGAACGACCAACUAGCGGAAGGGCAGCUCGCUGGGACGGUACUGACGCUAAGG
rnacentral:rRNA from 1 species